CCAGAAGAGGCUUCAGCAGUUUGGAUGAGUCUGUCAGCGUGCUGUUGAAAUACAUCUGCACAAGAAAAAGACGAUCAAGAUCACACAUUUUGUGAUGUUUCCAAGCCAAAGCAGAAUCAGAUCUAGGUCCCUGUUUGCCAUGAAUCAGAGCCGUACCUGCCAGCAUUGAUGACAGCGGCAUCAGAUCCUGAGCAGAUGUCCUCCAGGAUGAAGAAACUUUCAUCACAGGAAGUAUUGAGGUAACAGAAUAAAGACUAAUCAGGAGGGAACGAAAGAUAUCUACAAGAAAUGUGACCUACCCACAAACCUGACACCUCGCCGGACGAAAGAGUUAAAGUUGCAGCCCGCGGCGUUGAUAUCGGCUUCAGCUCCUCCUCUGCACUGCGCUCGGGACAGACAGCAGAACAGAAUCCCCUCUCCGAUCAUGAUCUGUGGACAUGCAACAUACCAGCUCCAUAUAGACCAUACAGACUCGACAGCCGGCAAUCUUCUCUUCUAUAUCGCAUAGGUCGCCAGGUGAGGAGUUUAAAUCCCAGUGGGAUCAUGGGAUUGAUAUCAGCUGUGCUCUACGCUCCGGCCUGGUGGGGAAGGUGCUACGAUCUAAACAUUGGCAAGACCAUGUGCCACACCGUGACCUGAAUCAGAUCCCAGGAAGCCCGCAGAUUCCACCAUCCCAUCCCAUCUGACCAGCUCAGCCUCUCAGACACUCAUAUUGUGUCAUGACACCUGGAGGAACUACAGGACGUCUCAAUGCCUGCAGUGACUUCCUGCCUGAUGCUAAAUCUGGCCUAUGUAGGUAAACAGAUUGUAGCCCAAAAUUGGGCUAAAGAAAGGACGGAGUGGGUCAUUAUUAAUGACUGUCUUUACCUGACAGCCUAAAUACGUUUUCAGACACACAUUACUGUGCAUUUUUAUGCAGCUGAACAUGUUGGGAUAAGAUGCAAAUGUGGUCAGAGCUCUCAAUGUCUGCAACUCAAAUUGAAUUAUUUAAUUACCUAAAAUUGCUAGCAUUGUGGUCACAUGCUGCAGAUAACAGUACAUUGGGUGUCUUUGUAAUGCUAGUCGUUUUAGUCAUUCAGUCAGUGCUUUCUGUUUCUCUUUCCUGUAGGAAUAAAAAAAUCUAAUUUUUUGCAACAAUUUUUGUUCUCUUCACACAUCUCCCCUGUACUUUCAGAAGAGAACAACAUCACAAACAGUUCAGAUUUGCAAAGUCUGCAAAAGAAUGUCAGAGAUUUCAAUAUGAACUCAAACAUUUUUUUUCUUGAAAUUCUCCCAAGGCCAG